CAAUAGCGUAUAUUAAAGUUGUUGCGGUUAAAAAGCUCGUAGUUGGAUUUCUGCUGAGGAUGACCGGUCCGCCCUGUGGGUGUGCAUCUGGCUCAGCCUUGGCAUCUUCCUGAAGAACGUAGCUGCACUUGACUGUGUGGUGCGGUAUUUAGGACAUUUACUUUGAGGAAAUUAGAGUGUUUCAAGCAAGCGCACGCUUUGAAUACAUUAGCAUGGAAUAAUAAGAUAGGACCUUGGUUCUAUUUUGUUGGUUUCUAGAGCUGAGGUAAUGAUUGAUAGGGAUAGUUGGGGGCAUUCGUAUUUAACUGUCAGAGGUGAAAUUCUUGGAUUUGUCAAAGACGGACUACUGCGAAAGCAUUUGCCAAGGAUGUUUUCAUUGA
rnacentral:rRNA from 1 species